rnacentral:rRNA from 1 species
UACAGAGGUCUCAAGCGUUGUUCGGAUUCAUUGGGCGUAAAGGGUGCGUAGGUGGCAUGGUAAGUCGGAUGUGAAAUCCCGGGGCUCAACCCCGGAACUGCAUUCGAUACUGCUGCGCUAGAGUACUGGAGAGGAGAUUGGAAUUUACGGUGUAGCAGUGAAAUGCGUAGAUAUCGUAAGGAAGACCAGUGGCGAAGGCGGAUCUCUGGACAGUUCCUGACGCUGAGGCACGAAGGCCAGGGGAGCAAACGGG